GGCCUACGGGACGCAGCAGUGGGGGAUAUUGCACAAUGGGGGGAACCCUGAUGCAGCGACGCCGUGUGGGUGAAGAAGCGCCUCGGCGCGUAAAGCCCUGUCAGCAGGGAAGAAAAUGACGGUACCUGAAGAAGAAGCCCCGGCUAACUACGUGCCAGCAGCCGCGGUAAUACGUAGGGGGCAAGCGUUAUCCGGAUUUACUGGGUGUAAAGGGGGCGCAGACGGCGAUGCAAGCCAGGAGUGAAAGCCCGGGGCCCAACCCCGGGACUGCUUUGGAAACUGUGCAGCUGGAGUGCAGG
rnacentral:rRNA from 1 species